rnacentral:tRNA from 1 species
GGCAACGUGGCCGAGUGGUUAAGGCGACUGCCUCGAAUAUUGGUUAUUGUAAGCAGUUCCCUUCGGGGGCGCAGGUUCGAAUCCUGCCGUUGUCG